AUGCUGCUGCUGCUACUGCUACUACUACUGCUACCCUUCUCUAAUUCGUAUUUAGGUGUCGGCUGGGUUGCUAAGUGCGGGCGCAAUGCGGUGUCACGCUGCGGGCAUUUAGUCUCUUCACCCUAGUCACCUUCUUUUACUUCCGACCUAUCAAUCUUAUUUCCUCAUUCAUGCAGAUCCGUACAUAAUACUACAUCCUACAUCCUACAUACCACAUACCACAUAUAUUAAUCCGGAUAAAGAAUCGGUUGAUUUGAAUACGUGACAUUCGUGACGGGUAAUAACUUAUUUAAUCGUCAUAUCGACGAGUGCAAAGUUCAACAGAAUUGAGUAAUGGCAAUAAUUAUCGUCAAGAAUUCAUAGGUCAGAGAGUAUCGGCAACUACAAGAGUUUAUCAUUAAUAAUAAUAAUAAUAAUAUGAUAAAUAUUAAUAAAAAGUAACUUUCUUACGGGUCACAGUAUUCGUUCGGGGUCAGAGUGCUCCCGAGAGACCGGGUACGCUCUGCUCGAGUCUGAUAACGUUAAAAUAUUACAAGAUAACCCGUAAUACUGGCAAAUAUCAGAGUCUUAAAUAUUUCUUUCCUGCUUUUACUUGAACUUGUUGUGAGUAUGCAUGAUAUAUAAGACUUAAAAGUGACAACAAGUGAGAUAGAAAAAGACAUUAAAGAGGAAAAAUAAAAGAUUAUAGUUUUUUAAAAAAACUACUGGUCUUUCUUGUCACGUCCCACUGACAGUGUAACGUUUUAAUUUAAAAACUGCAACGUUCAGUAUACACCCGAGAUAAUUCAAUUUGUGAUAAUAGCAAGGCGACUAAGCCAUUCACAAAGUUUCCUUUUUUUUUCUCUUUUUGUCGCUUCCACCAGCAGUUUCAGAUACGAGUAAUUUAAAAAGAUCUUUUAUUUUACUUGCCUGGUUGUUCUUUUUCUGGUAACUUUACGGUUGGUUUUUUCUCUGGGGCUUUUGGUGAGCAAUUUUUACGUGCAGGCUUAACCGUUAAUGAUGGUGGUACCUGUAAUGACAGUAAUAAAUAUAAUUUAACAUAAUUUGUAUACUAAAAUAAUAAUAAAUAAUGAUAAUAAUUAAACAAACCGCUUUUUCAGAACGUUCACCAGAUGGCAAUCUAGCAAUAGCAGCAUCCGGACUGUCUUCCGGAGGCGGAGGUUGUACAAUCCAAUUAUACUCUCUCUUUUCAACAGGCAGACCCCACCUCUCGUAUUCUAAACUUUGUGUCCUUAAUGUCUCGUAGCAAUCCAAGCAUACAACUGCAAAAUCACCGUUCUCAAGAAGCAAACUUUUUUCCGGUUGACGAUGAUACCUCAAGAAUGGAAAGUCCUUAACAGGUAGUGCUCUCACUCUUUUCCGAUAUGUUGUAAUACCACAGACGUAACACCAGUAAUCGUGGGUAUUAUAUUGCCUGUCAGAUGCAUUUAUCUGCUGGCCAGUAGACUGUGAUUCGUACUUUCGCCAUUGCGCCAACAAUGUGUGAUAACAAAAAGUACAAACAAGUGCCGAGCCGUCUUCGCGUAAUUGUUCGGCAUUUUUUGGCGACUGAUGACGAAGUAGUUCAGGAAAAAAUGGCGCAUUACGACCUUGGGGUCUGCUAUACAGUACACGUGCUAACGUUAAAUCACUAUGAAGACCACAGAAAAAACAGUAAAUCGAGCUGCUUGAUGCACCAGGAUUGCUGAUAAACGUACGAUCUGAAUUUGAACUUGGCGGUGUGGCAAUUGCACGAUUAACAUCGCCGUUUGGAUGUGGACUAGGAAUAUCAUAUCUGUCAUGAAAAAAAAUUAUAUUCUGUUAAUUAAACGGGAUUCCCAGGCGGCUUAAUACGCCAGUACUUGUGCAUAUCAAUAAAUAUGCAGACAGAGAUGGAGAUCGAGAGAGAGAGAGGGAAUAAAAAAUAAAAUAAGUACCUUCGUUGCUCGAGAGGAAUGCGGUCGGCAUCCAUAGACUCCCACUGCUGAGCUAAGUGAUUGACACAGUGACUACAGGCUAAAACUCUGCCAUGGCUGUCCAUGCAGGAAUUUUCAGAAGUACGUGCCAUCCCUCUCAAACAGGGAAAGUGCAUAGCAUGUGAAUUCAUACCUUCAGGACUCGUUGAUAGCCUAAAAAUAAAUAAUAAUUUAACAAUGUAUAUUGAAUAUAUAUGAGGAGUAUUAUAUAUUUUAUUACUCACCACUCCAUUUGGUUUCGAGGAUACAGUCGCUCACAAAUAUAGCACCGAUAAUUUUGUCCAACUGUUACAUUACCAUUUUCCGCUGGCGCAUUACUCGGUGAAUUUCGCUGAGUUGAACUUGCGAUUUUAACAUUGGCACUACGUGGUUUAUUACUCACAACGCUUGUUGUUUUAUUUAAAUCAUAUGGUUUAAAUCGAAUAUCGCUGCCAGCUGAAUUUGCUGGUGAUUUUGCGACAACAGGUCGUGGAGAUGGCCCUGCAAUAACAAUUUUAUAUAUUUUUAAUUUAUCUCUAUUGCUUUCCAAGCUCAUUAUCACGCUCAUUAUCAUUAAUUGACAUUACAAUGAGCUGAUAAAUAUGUAAGUUUCAAAAUAACAAACCUUGCUGACGAAAAUCAGUACCCUGCUGGGCACUUAUCGACUGAGUUUCAUUAUUUUCUCCACCAAAAACCUGCUGUUUUUGGGGUAUGGCUUUAUAACAGAUGGAACAAACUUGUACCAUCCCCUGAGGACUUAUAGGACUAGCUCCUGGUGGCGCUCGUAUCGUAGUAAUAAACGGAAAGUAUGCCUCCUUCUCCGGAUUCGGACAGCAAUACAACAGUCUAAUACUGGACGAGGGAUACUCCAAUGCACACGUAUAGCAGAUAAAUGUCGUCGGGUCAACUGCCGGUGCUUGACGUUUCCUUAACGUGUAAUUACGUUCGCUGUGCGGUAUACCCUGUCGGGUGUACGUUUUCCACUGGAGUAACAGUUUAUUUUACCUGGACACGCCCGGCACUGUCCAUCGGCCGGCUUUUGCUCGGCCGCGGAUGCAACAUCAACGAGGGGAAAAAUGGCGGAGGACUACUCGAAGGAUGCGGUGGAGUUGGCAGUGGCUUGGCUGCUAUAU